UACGUAGGGCGCAAGCGUUGUCCGGAAUUAUUGGGCGUAAAGCGCUCGUAGGCGGCCUGUCGCGUCUGCUGUGAAAUCCCGGGGCUCAACCCCGGGCGUGCAGUGGAUACGGGCUGGCUGGAGGCAGGCAGGGGAGAACGGAAUUCCUGGUGUAGCGGUGAAAUGCGCAGAUAUCAGGAGGAACACCGGUGGCGAAGGCGGUUCUCUGGGCCUGUUCUGACGCUGAGGAGCGAAAGCGUGGGGAGCGAACAGG
rnacentral:rRNA from 1 species